GCUUGCUGGGCGGAUUAGUGGCGAACGGGUGAGUAAUACGUGAGUAACCUGCCCUUGACUCUGGGAUAAGCCUGGGAAACUGGGUCUAAUACUGGAUACUACCUCUUACCGCAUGGUGGGUGGUGGAAAGGGUUUUACUGGUUUUGGAUGGGCUCACGGCCUAUCAGCUUGUUGGUGGGGUAAUGGCUCACCAAGGCGACGACGGGUAGCCGGCCUGAGAGGGUGACCGGCCACACUGGGACUGAGACACGGCCCAGACUCCUACGGGAGGCAGCAGUGGGGAAUAUUGCACAAUGGGCGGAAGCCUGAUGCAGCGACGCCGCGUGAGGGAUGACGGCCUUCGGGUUGUAAACCUCUUUCAGUAGGGAAGAAGCGAGAGUGACGGUACCUGCAGAAGAAGCGCCGGCUAACUACGUGCCAGCAGCCGCGGUAAUACGUAGGGCGCAAGCGUUGUCCGGAAUUAUUGGGCGUAAAGAGCUCGUAGGCGGUUUGUCGCGUCUGCUGUGAAAGCCCGGGGCUCAACCCCCGGGUCUGCAGUGGGUACGGGCAGACUAGAGUGCAGUAGGGGAGACUGGAAUUCCUGGUGUAGCGGUGAAAUGCGCAGAUAUCAGGAGGAACACCGAUGGCGAAGGCAGGUCUCUGGGCUGUUACUGACGCUGAGGAGCGAAAGCAUGGGGAGCGAACAGGAUUAGAUACCCUGGUAGUCCAUGCCGUAAACGUUGGGCACUAGGUGUGGGGGACAUUCCACGUUUUCCGCGCCGUAGCUAACGCAUUAAGUGCCCCGCCUGGGGAGUACGGCCGCAAGGCUAAAACUCAAAGGAAUUGACGGGGGCCCGCACAAGCGGCGGAGCAUGCGGAUUAAUUCGAUGCAACGCGAAGAACCUUACCAAGGCUUGACAUUCACCGGACCGCCCCAGAGAUGGGGUUUCCCUUCGGGGCUGGUGGACAGGUGGUGCAUGGUUGUCGUCAGCUCGUGUCGUGAGAUGUUGGGUUAAGUCCCGCAACGAGCGCAACCCUCGUUCUAUGUUGCCAGCACGUGAUGGUGGGGACUCAUAGGAGACUGCCGGGGUCAACUCGGAGGAAGGUGGGGAUGACGUCAAAUCAUCAUGCCCCUUAUGUCUUGGGCUUCACGCAUGCUACAAUGGCCGGUACAAAGGGUUGCGAUACUGUGAGGUGGAGCUAAUCCCAAAAAGCCGGUCUCAGUUCGGAUUGAGGUCUGCAACUCGACCUCAUGAAGUCGGAGUCGCUAGUAAUCGCAGAUCAGCAACGCUGCGGUGAAUACGUUCCCGGGCCUUGUACACACCGCCCGUCAAGUCACGAAAGUUGGUAACACCCGAAGCCGGUGGCCUAACCCCUUGUGGGAGGGAGCCGUCGAAG
rnacentral:rRNA from 1 species